UACGGAGGUGGCAAGCGUUGUCCGGAUUUACUGGGCGUAAAGAGCGCGCAGGCGGUCGAUCAAGUCGAGUGUGAAAGCCCUUGGCUCAACUGAGGAAGUGCACCCGAAACUGAGUGGCUAGAGUACGAAAGAGGGUCGCGGAAUUCCCGGUGUAGAGGUGAAAUUCGUAGAUAUCGGGAGGAACACCGGUGGCGAAGGCGGCGACCUGGGUCGAUACUGACGCUGAUGCGCGAAAGCGUGGGGAGCAAACAGG
rnacentral:rRNA from 1 species